CUAGUGAGCAAACAGGAGCAGUUUCUGGAAGAAAAGAAUAUGGUAAAUCAUCAGACAGUCGGCAGCCCUCUGAGAAGCCUGCGGGCGAGACCCUGAACAAUGGAAAGAACAAGCUGAAAAAUCUGAGAGAUGGUUUAAGAGAGUUGCAGAGCUGCAUAACGUUACGGAUCUGGCUAGUGCAAUUUCCGAUGAGGACUUUCCUGAGAUCAUGCCAAUGCGCAAAGGAGAGAAUCGAUUUGUAGUCAGCAAAAGGAAAGAUCGAUCCUUGACUUCUCCAAUGUACAAGAGACGUAUGGCCAUGGAGCAGGCUAAUGAUUCCAAUUUUGUGCCCUUUGUCCCCUUCCCACCAAACUACUUUGCAAAAAAGGAUAACCAACAGCCAGAUGUAGCUGAUUCAACUAAUAAUGCUACCAGUGGAACUGCAAAUUCUGCAACACUAGCGAAGCUCCCUGAGAAGUUGGAUGACAGUAAACCCGUGGUGGCUGGUGCUUCACAUGUUCAAGGGAUGGAAAACCAACAAUACAGCACAGAUUCAAGAACUUGGGAAAAUUCAAAUGAAAUGAAAGCAGGUGUAAAUUCAACUCAAACUGUUGUUGAUCCUCAGUCUAGUAGCAGGGAUGGUUGGAGCAGUGGAUAUCCUAGAAAUGAAACUAUUAGUGAGACACCAAAUCUGGUUGGUAGUAUGCCACAGAAUUUUCCUACUUCCCCAAUAAAUGGCAAGGACAGUGGGAGCAAUCGAUUCCCCAGUAAAGAGGACGUCAAUGAGGCAGCAAGUUUGACAAAGACUACAUCUCAUCCAUCUGAGAAUCAGAAAAUUAGGGAUAGCUGGACUGGGAAAAGCUUGGAAGGGUCAGCAGUGAAGGAGCCAGAUCCUUUGGACAUGUCAGAAGAGGCCAAGGCAGAGAGGUGGUUCCGACGCGUUGCUCAGAUCAAGGACAUAUCUGAGCUGAGCCAGAUCCCAGAUGAAGAUUUCCCC
rnacentral:misc_RNA from 1 species